AGCGAACGCUGGCGGCAGGCCUAACACAUGCAAGUCGAACGGAUCCUUCGGGAUUAGUGGCGGACGGGAGAGUAACACGUGGGAACGUGCCUUUAGGUUCGGAAUAACGCAGGGAAACUUGUGCUAAUACCGAAUGUGCCCUUCGGGGGAAAGAUUUAUCGCCUUUAGAGCGGCCCGCGUCUGAUUGGCUAGUUGGGAGGGUAAUGGCUCACCAAGGCUACGAUAAGUAGCUGGUCCUAGAGGAUGACCAGCCACAUUGGGACUGAGACACGGUCCAAACUCCUACGGGAGGCCGCAGGGGGGAAUCUUGCGCAAUGAGCGAAAGCCUGACGCAGCCAUGCCGCGUGGAUGAUGAAGGUCUUAGGAUUGUAAAAUCCUUUCACCGGUGAAGAUAAUGACUGUAGCCGGAGAAGAAGCCCCGGCUAACUUCGUGCCAGCCGCCGCCGUAA
rnacentral:rRNA from 1 species